AUGGACGGGAACAAGUAAGGUACACAUUUGACGUUGAAAGGAGUAAUUAGUUGUCGUUGGAGAAGCGUGUCAAAAGUCCUGCCAAGUUCAUUAAACAUCGUUGUCUGCCUCUUUGGUGUUAACGAUUUCUAUGGAACAUCCAUUCUUUCCAUUACAGGUGGGGGUUUUUCACUGAAUAUGCAAGUGACGAAGGAAACCUUACCAGAAUUUCCGUGGUUUUUCUUCCCUCAUUUUCAUAAUUAACAUCAUGCUUCUAUUUCAAGCGGUGUAUUACGGCUAAAAAAUUCAGAAACGAAGAGGGAAUGGCUCCGCUUCCUACGUCGCACAAGAGUAAAGUUCAAGUUGUGGCUGGCAGCACUCGUCGUCCUCGUUCGAAGGUUUUCCUUCUCGUUCGAAACGUGCCAAGAUAUUAUGCAACAGGAUCGACAGGUUACCGUCUCCAAAUUCUCCGAGAGAGCGGGUAAAACUGGAGUCUGUAACGACACUUUCACAGCAAGGGUUCAAGGUUCUCCGCGGAUCGCUUUCAUCUGUCGUUGUCGGCCAGAUUCGUUGCCUGCUUUCGCAUGAACUUUGAUAAUAAAGCUGGAUUA